UGCCGAGCAACUCCUAUCCCUACCUCCUCGCGGUACUGGCCGGGGUACGAGUAACCUUAGGGAAGAUCGGGUAACCAACCCCCGGUGGGAACUUUGGUCGUAUGCUGACAGGGAAGG
rnacentral:ribozyme from 1 species